rnacentral:tRNA from 1 species
GGGGGUAUAGCUCAGUGGUAAAGCAUGUGCUUAGCAUACACAAGGUCCUGGGUUCAAUCCCUAAUACCUCAA